UCAGGCAAGAAAGGAUAUAAUGCUGUAUUAAUGUCUCCAGUUUAUAAAAAUAAACAGACUCUCUGUGUACAGUUUUACUAUCAUAUGUAUGGUGUGGAUAUGGGAACUUUUAAUGUCUAUGCUGUUCAGGCAAAUUCUAUGGGACGACCAAUAUUUACCAGAUCGGGUAACCAAGGUAACCAAUGGAUUGUGGGACAGGCCACAAUUCCAAUGUCUACAGCUGCCAGAUUUCAGAUUGGUUUUGAGGGAAUAAGAGGGAAAAAUAUUAGAGCUGAUAUAGCUGUUGAUGAUGUCAGUGUUUCAGUAGGAGCAUGUGAUGCACCAGG